AUUGAACGCUGGCGGCAGGCCUAACACAUGCAAGUCGAGCGGAUGAAGGGAGCCUGCUCCUGGAUUCAGCGGCGGACGGGUGAGUAAUGCCUAGGAAUCUGCCUGGUAGUGGGGGAUAACGUCCGGAAACGGGCGCUAAUACCGCAUACGUCCUGAGGGAGAAAGUGGGGGAUCUUCGGACCUCACGCUAUCAGAUGAGCCUAGGUCGGAUUAGCUAGUUGGUGGGGUAAAGGCCUACCAAGGCGACGAUCCGUAACUGGUCUGAGAGGAUGAUCAGUCACACUGGAACUGAGACACGGUCCAGACUCCUACGGGAGUCAGCAGUGGGGAAUAUUGGACAAUGGGCGAAAGCCUGAUCCAGCCAUGCCGCGUGUGUGAAGAAGGUCUUCGGAUUGUAAAGCACUUUAAGUUGGGAGGAAGGGCAGUAAGUUAAUACCUUGCUGUUUUGACGUUACCAACAGAAUAAGCACCGGCUAACUUCGUG
rnacentral:rRNA from 1 species